rnacentral:rRNA from 1 species
UUCCUACGGGGGGCAGCAGUGGGGAAUAUUGCACAAUGGGGGAAACCCUGAUGCAGCGACGCCGCGUGAGCGAUGAAGUAUUUCGGUAUGUAAAGCUCUAUCAGCAGGGAAGAAGAUGACGGUACCUGACUAAGAAGCCCCGGCUAACUACGUGCCAGCAGCCGCGGUAAUACGUAGGGGGCAAGCGUUAUCCGGAUUUACUGGGUGUAAAGGGAGCGUAGGCGGCAGUGCAAGUCAGAAGUGAAAGCCCGGGGCUCAACUCCGGGACUGCUUUCGAAACUGUACAGCUUGAUUGCAGGAGAGGC